rnacentral:rRNA from 1 species
GGCAAUGACGGUGAUGGAGGGGGGGUGAUGGGGAGGGGGGGAGCGGUGGGCGGAAGUAUUGGGCGUAAAGAGCGUGUAGGCGGUUUGGCACGGCGAAAGUGAAAACUCGGGCCUUAAUCCCGAGCUUGCUUUCGAGACGGGCUGACUAGAGGAAGGUAGGGGAGAACGGAAUUCCUGGUGGAGCGGUGGAAUGCGCAGAUAUCAGGAGGAACACCGGUGGCGAAGGCGGUUCUCUGGACCUUUCCUGACGCUGAGAAGCGAAAGCGUGGGGAGCAAACAGGAUUAGAUACCCCAGUAGUC